GGCCCCAUCGUCUAGCGGUUAGGACAGUAGGUUCUCAUCCUACAAACCGGGGUUCGAUUCCCCGUGGGGUCA
rnacentral:tRNA from 1 species